rnacentral:rRNA from 1 species
AACGAACGCUGGCGGCAGGCUUAACACAUGCAAGUCGAACGGGUGUCGCAAGACAUCAGUGGCAGACGGGUGAGUAACACGUGGGAACCUUCCUAGGGGUACGGAACAACUCAGGGAAACUUGAGCUAAUACCGUAUACGUCCGUGAGGAGAAAGAUUUAUCGCCCUUAGACGGGCCCGCGUCGGAUUAGCUAGUUGGUGGGGUAACGGCCUACCAAGGCGACGAUCCGUAGCUGAUCUGAGAGGAUGAUCAGCCACACUGGGACUGAGAUACGGCCCAGACUCCUACGGGAGGCAGCAGUGGGGAAUCUUGGACAAUGGGCGCAAGCCUGAUCCAGCCAUGCCGCGUGAGUGAAGAAGGCCUUAGGGUU